GUAGGGGGCGAGCGUUUGCUCGGAUUUACUGGGCGUAAAGAGCGCGUAGGCGGCCAGGUAAGUCCGGUGUGAAAUCCCUCGGCUCAACCGAGGACCCGCAUCGGAAACUACUUGGCUUGAGUCCAGGAGAGGAGGGUGGAAUUCCCGGUGUAUCGGUGAAAUGCGUAGAGAUCGGGAGGAACACCUGUGGCGAAGGCGGCCCUCUGGACUGGUACUGACGCUGAGGCGCGAAAGCUGGGGGAGCGAACGGGAUUAGAUACCCCGGUAGUCCCAGCCGUAAACGAUGGGCACUAGGUGUGGGAGGUAUUGACCCCCUUCCGUGCCCGCAGCUAACGCAUUAAGUGCCCCGCCUGGGGAGUACGGCCGCAAGGUUG
rnacentral:rRNA from 1 species